rnacentral:rRNA from 1 species
UACAUAGGUCGCGAACGUUAUCCGGCGUUAUUGGGCGUAAAGGGUGCGUAGGCGGUUCGGUAAGUUAUAGGUGGAUGAGGGGCUCAACCCCGCGGAAGCUUAUAAUACUGCCAGACUAGAGGAAAGAAGGGGUUAAUGGAACUUCAUGUGAAGCGGUAAAAUGUAUAGAUAUAUGAAGGAACACCAGCAAAGGCGAAGGCGGUUAACUAUUCUUAUUCUGACGUUGAGGCACGAAAGUGUGGGGAGCCAAGCGG